rnacentral:lncRNA from 1 species
GUCUCCCGGAGAGGCGUCUCCGGGCUGACCGCGGCCGCAGCUCCGCUCCUCUGCCUGAGCCGUGCGGCAGCCCUGGGAGCCUCUCAACGCCGAGCUUUCCUCAGAAGCCCGCGGCGACCCGGGCCUCGGCCGCUGUUCCUGCCCGAACUGAGGGCACAUCGCGCUUCGCGCGGGAUUUCCCAUAAAUUCAGGCUCCGGGCAAGAUUGUGUGUUUUUUCCUCUCCGCGGGCCGCCGCUGGCCGUGUGGGCCGAAGAAGCCCUGGAGGGGGAGAGGGGAGCCGCUCUCGACUGGGCUUGCGGCGUGGGAGGGACAGUGAGGGACACUUAGGGACUGUGUGGGGCAGUGAAGGAUAGUGUGGGAUGAUGAGGGACCGUGUGGACCGGUGAGCGACUGUGUGGGACAGUGCGGGACGAUGAGAGACGGUGUGGGACGGUGAGGGACAGUGCGGGACGAUGAGGGACAGUGAGGGACUGUGUAGGACAGUGAGGGACAGUGUGGGACGGUGAGGGACUGUGGGACAGUGAGGGACUUUGGGACUGUGAGGGACUCGGACAGUGAAGGAUGGCAAGGGACAGUGUGGGACAGUAUGGGACAGUGGACAGUGAGGCACUGUGAGGGGCGGUGAGGGACAAUGAAGGAUGUCAAGGGACAGUGUGGGACAGUGGACGGUGAGGUACUGUGAGGGGCGGUGAGGGACAGUGUGGGACUGUGAGGGAUGGCGAGGGACAGAGUAGGACAGCAAGGGAGGAUGAGGGGACAGAGUGGGCCGGCGUGGGGCGGUGAGGCUACGCGGGGGGAACCCAGGGCUCCUCUGACUGCGUUGGAAUAUGGAGGAAAGGUCCUGCUCGAGGUUGAGCCCUUCAGGGUCGCUGUGGGUUUCCAGGAGGAGCUCCCUCACUACUGACUUAGGGGGCCCUCGGCUUCCCAGUGUAAGAAGAAGCUGUCUUUGGAGUGAGAACAAGGGUGAGGUUCUGGCUCAGAAACCUUAGAAUCACAGACACUGUUUUCCUGAAAACAUUGCUUCUUUCUCUCAUCUCAAAGAAAUGCCACAAGUCGUGUGUUUCCCCACUGCGAGCCCUUCGAGAACAAUGUCAUGUUGAUCGAUGGCAGUGACUCACACCAGAUCUUUCCAUGCCUCCUCUGCAAGGACUCAAGAGAGUCGAGAGCAAAACCGUGCCAUAGUUCCAUAAGGAGGGCAAAGAGCUUUAUCCACGCUGAGGAACAGGCGGAUCAUGCGGCUACAGCACUGGUCUUUACCUUUUAACUGCUUGAUUCGAAACAUUCCAGCCAGGAACAGUGGCUCACACCUGUAAUCCCAGCACUUUGUGGGGCCAAGGCAGGUGGAUUGCUCGAGCUCAGGAGUUCGAAACCAGCCUGGGCAACCUGGCAAAACCUCAUCUCUACAAAAAAAUACAAAAAUUAGCCAGGCCUGGUGUGUGUGCCUGUGGUUCCAGCCACUCGGCAGGCUGCGGCCAGAGGAUCACUUGAGCCCAGGAAGUGGAGGCUGCAGUGAGCUGAGAUCGUGCCGCCACACUCCAGCCUGGGUGACAGAGCCAGACAUUGUCUCUAAAAAAAAAAAAAAAAGAAAAGAAAAGAAAGAAAAAAGAGAAAUAGUCCAAGACUAGGGAGAAAACCUUCUUUGGGGUCAGUGUGAACCAUUCUUUCAUUUGUUCAGCAAAUGCUUACUGAGGAGCUACUGUGUCCCUGAAAUUGCCUCCACCUCCAAGAAGACAGUGGUGAGCAAGUCAGACAAUACCUCUAAUCUCAUGGUAUUUAUAAGUAAAUGGGCCGUUAAAAUUACCAGAUCAGAAGUGCUGUGUUCAGCAAAUAGAGGCUCAUGGGAAACUCCUAAGAAGGGCUUCUGAGCUGGACUUGGGGGUCAGGAAAGGCAGAAUGAGGGGGCUGACUCAUCCAGACUGGGGCGGGGUUGCCGGGGGUGCCUCCCACUUACUAUCUGUCUCCUUCUAGACUGACUUCUCUGUCAUCAUGAAUACACCCCUUUAAGACAUACAUUUAAGAGAAAAUAAGAGGAUGCCUUAUUUAUUUAAAGGUUUGUUACAGUUUUACUAACAACCACAUACCUAAAGGAAAGUCGCAAGUAGAGCUCAAAAACUUUUUUCUCUGGGGCAGUGAAGAGUCAGUUGCCAGCCAGAAGGCCCACUGAGCCUGAGCACUUCAGGGUGUGCUUCCUACAGAUAAGGACAUCCUCCUGCAUAACAGGAAAGGGGUCCUGAUCCAGACCCCAAGAGAGGGUUCUUGGAUCUCGCACAAGAAAGAAUUCCGGGUGAGUCUGUAAAGCGAAAGCCAGUUUAUUAAGUAAAGGAGUAAAAGAAUGGCUAUUCCAUAGACAGAGCAGCCCUGAGGGCUGCUGAUUGCCCAGUUUUAUGGCUGUUUCUUGAUGAUAUGCUAAACAAGGGGUGGAUUACUCAUGCCUCCCCCUUUUAGACCGUAGAGGGCAAGUCCUGAUGUUGCCAUGGCGUUUGUAAACUGUCAUGGAGCUGGUGGGAGUGAAGCAGUGAGGAUGACCAGAGGUCACUCUCGGCACCAUCUUGGUUUUUGGUGGGUUUUAGCCAGCUUCUUUACUGCAACCUGUUUUUUCAGCAAUAUCUUUAUGACCUGUAUCUUGUGCCGACCUCCUAUCUCAUCCUGUAAAUUAGAAUGCCAUUACCAUCUGGGAAUGCAGCCCAGUAGGUCUCAGCCUUAUUUUACUCAGCUCCUAUUUAAGAUGGAGUCGCUCUGGUUCGAACGGCUCUGAUAUAACUGCUGCUCAGCCAUUGACGUCGGGAAGGUAGCACAGGCUCAUUGCCACCACUGAACCCUCAGACCCCACCCAAGUGUUGCCAGUUGUUCCAAUAAUGUCCUUUAUGGUGAAAGGACCAGAUCCAUGGUCACAUAUUGCAUUGAAUUGUCACGUCUUCUUCUUUAGUCUUCCCUCGACCUACAUGACCUUGCCAUUUUUGGAGAUAAUAGUUUAACAGUCCAGUGGGUUCACCUUGCCCGCUGCCUAGACAGAGCUGGUUGAUCAUGACAGGGGAGUUGCAAUGGACAAUGGAGAAAGCGUAAUUCACACAGAGUCGACUGUGUGGGAGACCAGAGUUUUGUUAAUACUCAAAUCAGUCUCCCUGAGCAUUUGGCGAUUAAAGUUUUUAAAGAUAAUUUGGUGGGUAGGGGCUUGGGAAGUGGAGAGUGCAAUGGAGAUGGAAUCACAGGGGGUCGAAGUGAGUUUUUCUUGCUGUUUUCUGUUCUUGGGUGGGAUGGCAGAACUGGUUGAGCCAGAUUACUGGUCUGGGUGGUGGUAGCUGGUCCACUGAGUGCAGGGUUUGCAAAAUAUCUCAAGCACUGAUCUUAGGUCUUACAAUAGUGAUGUUAUUGCCAGGAGCAAUUUGGGGAGGUUCAGACUCUUGGAGUCAGAGGCUGCAUGACCCCUAAACUGUAAUUUCUUGUUUUGUUUGUUUGUUUUGUUAUUGUUGUUUGGUUUUUUUUGAGACGGAGUUUCACUCUUGUUGCCCAGGCUGGAGUGCAAUGGCAUGAUCUCAGCUCACCGCAACCUCCACCUCCCAGGUUCAAGCAAUUCUCCUGCCUCAGCCUCCCAAGUAACUGAGAUUACAGGCAUGUGCCACCACGCCCGGCUAAUUUUGUAUUUUUAGUAGAGAUGGGGUUUCUCCAUGUUGGUCAGGCUGGUCUUGAACUCCUGACCUCAGGUGAUCUGCCUGCCUUGGCCUCCCAACGUGCUGGGAUUACAGGCAUGAGCCACUGCGCCUGGCCAGUAAUUUCUAAUCUUGUAGCUAAUUUGUUAGUCCUGCAAAGGCUGAGUGGUCCCAGGCAAGAAGGGGGUCUUUUUGGGAAAGGGGUUUUAUCAAUUUUGUUUCAGAGUCCAACCACGAAUUGAAUUCCUUCCCAAAGUUAGUUUGGCCUAUGCCCAGGGAUGAACAAGGACAGCUUAAAGGUUAGAAGCAAGAUGGAGUUGGUUAGAUCUGAUUUCUUCCAGUGUCAUAAUUUCCUGAGUUAUAAUUUUGCAAAGGUGGUUUCAAUAGGACACUUGCUUUGUAGCCUGCACUUUGGUUUUCAUUUCUCUGAUGUGCCCUCACGGUUAGGGCCAAGUGAUGCAUCUUUAGUGGGAAUAGCUCAGGAGUAGUGCGGUCUUCUUAUUGUAUUAUAACACAUGCGGUGGCAUUUGUUGGCUCAGCUUCUACACUGUAAAGUUGCUCUUUUUGCCUCUUAAUGAAUAUGUAUCUUGAGGGAGAUACUAAAAAAAAUCCCUUUCCUCAUCAAAUUCUGCAUGUGUUCAGUAUGGAUUCAUGGCUUUCUAUUUUAUCCACUAGGUUAUAAUCUGUUGCCAUCUUUAUUUUAAUACUCAAAUUCUCCCAUAUUCAGUGACCACCUCAAGCUGACUUCUGUAUCCUUUUGACACAUCUCAGUCAUUCUUUGAGCACUUCCUUUUUUGCUGAGAUGGGUACAUGUUCUAGGCCCACCCUGUGCUUCCCCUGUCUAGUCUGGAAUCAGCCGUUUCUCAAAGGAGCUUUUGGUGGAGAAUGGUGUUUAGAAACCAAGAUCUGGAUAGCAGGUGUGCUCGCUGUGAUUGGGCUAUUGCUGCUCCCAAUCCUCUAGAUAGCCAGAACAACAACAUAAAAACAUGUAUGUUUGGCUGGGCACGGUGGCCGAUGCCUGUAAUCCCAGCACUUUGGGAGGUUGAGGUGGGUGGAUCACCUCAGGUCAGUUUGAGACCAGGCUGACCAACAUGGUGAAACCUUGUCUCUACUAAAAAUACAAAAAAAUCAGCAGGGUGUGGUGGUGCAUGCCUGUAAUCCCAGCUACUUGGGAGGCUGAGGCAAGAGAAUCGCUUGAACCCGGGAGGUGGAGGUUGCAGUGAGCCAAGAUCAUGCCACUGCACUCCAGCCUGGGCGACAGAGUGAGACUCUGUCCCCGAAAAAAAAAAGAAAAGUAUGUUUAUUUCUGUAUGUUUUUACUCACACCAAAAUACCUUCAAUUCCAGCCCAGUACCACAGGACUUAUUCUAGUUUUCUCUCUUUUCAUAUUUGUAUCUCCUUUCUCUGACAGUGAGACCAUGGCUCCCAUUAUUCUAAGUAUACUGACUUAUUUGACUAAUCCCCUGUAGAUGAUCAGUCUCUCCUGCCUUCUCCCCCACCACAUGUGGACACCCUCCUCACCCUGCCUGGCCCUGACACCCCGUGCUGGGUCUUCAACAUGCACAGAGGCCCUCCUGACCCCACUCGGGCUCUGAUCUUCCACACCAGACCACCCCUUCACACGGGCCCCCUCCUCCCACAUUUGGGCUCCGAGUCCCCAGGCUGAGCUGCCCUUUACCUUGCUUGAACUCUGACACCCCAUGCCAGGUCUCGGCCUUGCGAGGACACCUUUCUCACCUUAUGCUGGAGCUCCCUGGCACAGACUGCCUUGCACUGUGCUGGACUUUGCCUGCUGCCUGGAUGCACUCCUCACCAUGCCUGGGCCCUGAAAUCCCACUGCAGGCCAUUCUCACACAUGGAUGCUUUCCCUACCCUGCUUGGGCCCUCACUCCCAUGCUGACUCCCUCUCCCCCAUUGUAUUAAUCCAUUUUCAUGCUGCUGAUAAAGAUAUACCUGAGGCCAGGCGCAGUGGCUCAUGCCUGUAAUCCCAGCACUUGGGAGGCAAAGGCGGGUGGAUCAACUGAGGUCAGGAGUUCGAGACCAGCCUGGCCAACAUGGUGAAACCCUGUCUCUACUAAAAAUACAAAAAUUAGCUGGGCAUGGUGGCAGGCGCCUGUAAUCCCAGCUACUUGGGAGGCUGAGGCAGGAGAAUUGCUUGAAACUGGGUGGCGGAGGUUGCAGUGAGCCUAGAUUGCGCCAUUGCACUCUAGUCUUGGGGACAAGAGUGAGACUUCGUCUCCAAAUAAAUAAAUAAAUAAAAAUACAUACCUGAGACUGGGCAAUUUACAAAAGAAAGAGGUUUAAUGGACUUACAGUUCCAUGUGGCUGGGGAGGCCUCACAAUCAUGGUGGAAGGUGAAAGGCAUGUCUCACAUGGUGGCAGACAAGAGAAGAGAGCUUGUGCAGCGAAACUCCCCUUUAUAAACCAGAUCUUAUGAGACUUAUUCACUAUCAUGAGAACAGCACGGGAAAGACCUGCCCUCAUGAUUCAGUUACCUCCCACCAGGUCCCUCCCACAACACGUGGGAAUUCAAGAUGAGAUUUGGUUGGGGACACAGCCAACCCAUAUCACCCAUGCCUGGAUGCCCUUCUCAUGCUUGGGUUCUGUCAUCUGCACCAGGCCUUCUGCUGCCCGUCUGUCUUACCCACCAGGACUCUGACUCUCCACGCUGGGCCACCUCUCUUCUCCAACACUGCUAUGGAUUGAAUGUUUAUGUUCUCCCCAAAUUUGCAUGUUGCAAUCCCAAUCUCCAAUGCCAUAGUAUUAGGAGGUGGGGGCCUUUGGGAGGUGAUUUGGUCAUGAAGGUGGAGUCCUCACAGCUGGGAUGAGUGUCCUUCUAUAAGAGGCUCCAGUGAGCUCCCUCGCCCCUUCCACCAUGUGGGGACACAGCGAGAAGAUGCUGUCUAUGAACCAGGAAACCGGCCCUUGCCAGACACUGAAUCUGCACUUUGAUCUUGGACUUGCAGCCUCCAGAACUGUGAGAAAUAAAUGUCUAUCGUUUAUAAGGCA